GCCCGGAUGGUCUAGUGGUAUGAUUCUCGCUUGUGAGUUCUUCCCCUAAACAAAACCAUUCAUUACGAAAGUAAAAAUACUAAUAAGUAUUCUAGCGGGCUGGCUGAUACAGUACCAAUCUGCGAGAGGUCCCGCGUUCGAAUCGCGGUUCGGGCC